UAUAGGUUUGGUCCCAGCCUUUCUAUUGGUUGCUAGCAAAACUACACAUGCAAGUAUCCGCUCUCCAGUGAGAAUGCCCUGCAAGUCUCUUCAAAAGACAAAUAGGAGCGGGUAUCAAGCGCACCUCCAGGUAGCUCAUAACGCCUUGCUCAGCCACACCCCCACGGGCAACAGCAGUGAUAAAAAUUAAGCAAUAAACGAAAGUUUGACUAAGUUAUGCCUGCAAGGGUUGGUAAAUUUCGUGCCAGCCACCGCGGCCAUACGAUUGACCCCAAUCAAUAGACCUACGGCGUAAAACGUGUUUAAGACCCUUCCCCACCACAAUAAAGCCAAACUCUAGCUAUGCUGUAAAAAGCCCUAGCUACCGUAAGCUCUCCUACGAAAGUGGCUUUAAACAAACUGAAUACACGACAACUAAGACCCAAACUGGGAUUAGAUACCCCACUAUGCUUAGUCUUAAACCUAAAGAAUUCCCUAACAAAAUUCUUCGCCAGAGUACUACGAGCCAAAGCUUAAAACUCAAAGGACUUGGCGGUGCUUCAUAUCCUUCUAGAGGAGCCUGUUCUAUAAUCGAUAUACCCCGAUAAACCUCACCAGUCCUUGCCACAAUUCAGCCUAUAUACCGCCAUCUUCAGCAAACCCUAAAAAGGUCUUAUAGUAAGCCCAAGUAUUGUACAUAAAAACGUUAGGUCAAGGUGUAGCCUAUGGACUGGAAAGAAAUGGGCUACAUUUCCUACAAUUUAGGAUAACUCAUCUAUACGAAAGCCCCUGUGAAACCAAGAGCUAAAGGUGGAUUUAGCAGUAAACUAAGAAUAGAGUGCUUAGUUGAAUAAGGCCAUGAAGCACGCACACACCGCCCGUCACCCUCCUCAAAUACUAGUGGUACCCUCUCAACCCUAUUAACAAACCCCCACAGCUAUUAGAGGAGAUAAGUCGUAACAAGGUAAGCGUACUGGAAAGUGCGCUUGGACAACC
rnacentral:ncRNA from 1 species